rnacentral:rRNA from 1 species
GAUGAACGCUGGCGGCGUGCCUAAUACAUGCAAGUCGAGCGAACAGAUAAGGAGCUUGCUCCUUUGACGUUAGCGGCGGACGGGUGAGUAACACGUGGGUAACUUACCUAUAAGACUGGAAUAACUCCGGGAAACCGGGGCUAAUGCCGGAUAACAUGUUGAACCGCAUGGUUCUACAGUGAAAUGCGGCUUUGCUGUCACUUAUAGAUGGACCCGCGCCGUAUUGGCUAGUUGGUGAGGUAAAGGCUCACCAAGGCAACGAUACGUAGCCGAGCUGAGAGGGUGAUCGGCCACACUGGAACUGAGCCACGGUCCAGACUCCUACGGGAGGCAGCAGUAGGGAAUCUUACGCAAUGGGCGAGAGCCUGACGGAGCAACGCCGCGUGAGUGAUGACGGUCUUCGGAUCGUAAAACUCUGUUAUUAGGGAAGAACAAAUGCGUAAGUAACUGUGCGCGUCUUGACGGUACCUAAUCAGAAAGCCACGGCUAACUACGUG